AGGGGAGUGAAAAAGAACCUGAAACCGUGUACGUACAAGCAGUGGGAGCACAGGUUUACCUGUGUGACUGCGUACCUUUUGUAUAAUGGGUCAGCGACUUAUAUUCUGUAGCAAGGUUAACCGUAUAGGGGAGCCGGAGGGAAACCGAGUCUUAACCGGGCGUUAAGUUGCAGGGUAUAGACCCGAAACCCGGUGAUCUAGCCAUGGGCAGGUUGAAGGUUGGGUAACACUAACUGGAGGACCGAACCGACUAAUGUUGAAAAAUUAGCGGAUGACCUGUGGCUGGGGGUGAAAGGCCAAUCAAACCGGGAGAUAGCUGGUUCUCCCCGAAAGCUAUUUAGGUAGCGCCUCGUGAACUCAUCUCCGGGGGUAGAGCACUGUUUCGGCUAGGGGGCCAUCCCGGCUUACCAACCCGAUGCAAACUGCGAAUACCGGAGAAUGUUAUCACGGGAGACACACGGCGGGUGCUAACGUCCGUCGUGAAGAGGGAAACAACCCAGACCGCCAGCUAAGGUCCCAAAGUCAUGGUUAAGUGGGAAACGAUGUGGGAAGGCCCAGACAGCCAGGAUGUUGGCUUAGAAGCAGCCAUCAUUUAAAGAAAGCGUAAUAGCUCACUGGUCGAGUCGGCCUGCGCGGAAGAUGUAACGGGGCUAAACCAUGCACCGAAGCUGCGGCAGCGACACUGUGUGUUGUUGGGUAGGGGAGCGUUCUGUAAGCCUGUGAAGGUGGCCUGUGAGGGUUGCUGGAGGUAUCAGAAGUGCGAAUGCUGACAUAAGUAACGAUAAAGCGGGUGAAAAGCCCGCUCGCCGGAAGACCAAGGGUUCCUGUCCAACGUUAAUCGGGGCAGGGUGAGUCGACCCCUAAGGCGAGGCCGAAAGGCGUAGUCGAUGGGAAACGGGUUAAUAUUCCCGUACUUGGUGUUACUGCGAAGGGGGGACGGAGAAGGCUAUGUUGGCCGGGCGACGGUUGUCCCGGUUUAAGCGUGUAGGUGUGUGUUCCAGGUAAAUCCGGUUCACUUUAACACUGAGGCGUGAUGACGAGGCACUACGGUGCUGAAGCAACAAAUGCCCUGCUUCCAGGAAAAGCCUCUAAGCAUCAGGUAACACGAAAUCGUACCCCAAACCGACACAGGUGGUCAGGUAGAGAAUACCAAGGCGCUUGAGAGAACUCGGGUGAAGGAACUAGGCAAAAUGGUGCCGUAACUUCGGGAGAAGGCACGCUGACACGUAGGUGAAGUGAUUUACUCAUGGAGCUGAAGUCAGUCGAAGAUACCAGCUGGCUGCAACUGUUUAUUAAAAACACAGCACUGUGCAAACACGAAAGUGGACGUAUACGGUGUGACGCCUGCCCGGUGCCGGAAGGUUAAUUGAUGGGGUCAGCGCAAGCGAAGCUCCUGAUCGAAGCCCCGGUAAACGGCGGCCGUAACUAUAACGGUCCUAAGGUAGCGAAAUUCCUUGUCGGGUAAGUUCCGACCUGCACGAAUGGCGUAAUGAUGGCCAGGCUGUCUCCACCCGAGACUCAGUGAAAUUGAACUCGCUGUGAAGAUGCAGUGUACCCGCGGCAAGACGGAAAGACCCCGUGAACCUUUACUAUAGCUUGACACUGAACAUUGAGCCUUGAUGUGUAGGAUAGGUGGGAGGCUUUGAAGUGUGGACGCCAGUCUGCAUGGAGCCGACCUUGAAAUACCACCCUUUAAUGUUUGAUGUUCUAACGUGGACCCGUUACCCGGGUUGCGGACAGUGUCUGGUGGGUAGUUUGACUGGGGCGGUCUCCUCCUAAAGAGUAACGGAGGAGCACGAAGGUUGGCUAAUCCUGGUCGGACAUCAGGAGGUUAGUGCAAUGGCAUAAGCCAGCUUGACUGCGAGCGUGACGGCGCGAGCAGGUGCGAAAGCAGGUCAUAGUGAUCCGGUGGUUCUGAAUGGAAGGGCCAUCGCUCAACGGAUAAAAGGUACUCCGGGGAUAACAGGCUGAUACCGCCCAAGAGUUCAUAUCGACGGCGGUGUUUGGCACCUCGAUGUCGGCUCAUCACAUCCUGGGGCUGAAGUAGGUCCCAAGGGUAUGGCUGUUCGCCAUUUAAAGUGGUACGCGAGCUGGGUUUAGAACGUCGUGAGACAGUUCGGUCCCUAUCUGCCGUGGGCGCUGGAGAACUGAGGGGGGCUGCUCCUAGUACGAGAGGACCGGAGUGGACGCAUCACUGGUGUUCGGGUUGUCAUGCCAAUGGCACUGCCCGGUAGCUAAAUGCGGAAGAGAUAAGUGCUGAAAGCAUCUAAGCACGAAACUUGCCCCGA
rnacentral:rRNA from 1 species